rnacentral:rRNA from 1 species
UACGUAGGGUCCGAGCGUUGUCCGGAAUUACUGGGCGUAAAGAGCUCGUAGGUGGUUUGUCGCGUUGUUCGUGAAAACUCACAGCUCAACUGUGGGCGUGCGGGCGAUACGGGCAGACUUUGAGUACUGCAGGGGAGACUGGAAUUCCUGGUGUAGCGGUGAAAUGCGCAGAUAUCAGGAGGGAACACCCGGGUGGCGAAGGCGGGUCUCUGGGCCGAUACUGACGCUGGAGGAGCGAAAGCGUGGGGAGCGAACAGG